ACCGUGCACUGCCUUAGCGGACAUAGCUUAGUUGGUAAAGCGCGACCUUGCCAAGGUCGAGACCGCGGGUUCG
rnacentral:tRNA from 1 species